AGAAGGGCUUUGAAGUACAAGGUCAGCACUUCCAUUUGAUCCGUACUGCUUGGGACAUCACCCAAUACUCUCUGUUCUUUCAUUCAAUGCCCUGAUUUUUGGCUCUUUCUGGAUCUCCACCUCUGAUCACCAUCUCCUGCUUCCCGGCCGAGAGGGGAGGCAGGAUUCAAAUACACUUAUUUGCCAACAGUGAUUUUUCUCGUUGGUCUAUGAACUCCGGCGGAAGAGAGUGUCUGCCGCGGGUGCGGCUGAACUACAGCAACAUGCGCCUGUAGCCAUGGCCGGUCCAACCUCAGUGGGGCAAGAGGAGGACUUUGCAAUGCUCAUGGGACACAGAGAGCCUAACUGCCUUGGGAGCUGUGUAGCAGGCUGGCGGCGGCUGCGAACACUGGGUACUCCACGUGAGAACAUUUUCAUCUGAGAACAUUGUCAUCUAUUUCUGUUACUCAUUCUCUUGGCAAAUUUUCACUGUCUUGAGAAGCUAAUUUCAUAGAAAUCAAAUAAUAAAACAGGACAGAUUGAAAACAAGGGUUUUCUUACAUAAAUAUCACGUAUUUAAUUCAUUCUGACACUAAUAAUUUAUUUAGAACUCUAUUAGAAAGUGGACCUUGCUGACUAAGAUUGCACAGCCUUCAAAGCCUCGUGCAAAUUCUAAACUGUAAAAAAUGUUUUCCCAUCUCCCCUUACUCCCUUCC